AAAGCAUUCAUAACUCUCUCUCAAAAACACAAGCAUAAUUAAUCAAAUAUAUAUAGAUGGCAAAAAUUUCAGUAAAUUGUUGUGUUCUCCUUGUCAUCAUGUAUCUUUCUGUCCUAGACUCGACGAUUGCCCAAAAGGAAUGCACCAGUGAAGUUCCCAGUGUACAGUGCCAAGUGAACGAUAAUUGCAUGCCUACCUGCGAGGAUAUAUAUGGAGAUAAAUUAUUUUGGGCAUCUUGUCUGCAGAAAUCGCCUCCUCCUUCUCCUGUUUGUGUUUGUCAUUAUUAUUGUUAAAGAUUUCUUUGAAGUUGCGACACUAUAAGUGUCUCUCUUUAGAUUUCAUCUAAAUAUUAAACUUAUCAUGUAUUUGAUCGAGUUAUAAGAUUGAUUUCUUUUUUGGUGCAAUGUAAGAUUGAUGUCAUAUGGUUAAAA